ACGUAGAGUUUGAUCCUGGCUCAGAUUGAACGCUGGCGGCAGGCCUAACACAUGCAAGUCGAGCGGUAACAGAUCUAGCAUGCUAGAUGCUGACGAGCGGCGGACGGGUGAGUAAUGCAUAGGAAUCUACCGGGUAGUGGGGGAUAACCUGGGGAAACCCAGGCUAAUACCGCAUACGUCCUACGGGAGAAAGGGGGCUCCGGCUCCCGCUAUCGGAUGAGCCUAUGUCGGAUUAGCUAGUUGGUGAGGUAAUGGCUCACCAAGGCAACGAUCCGUAGCUGGUCUGAGAGGAUGAUCAGCCACAUCAGGACUGAGACACGGCCCGAACUCCUACGGGAGGCAGCAGUGGGGAAUAUUGGACAAUGGGGGGAACCCUGAUCCAGCCAUGCCGCGUGUGUGAAGAAGGCCUUCGGGUUGUAAAGCACUUUCAGCGAGGAAGAACGCCUAGUGGUUAAUACCCAUUAGGAAAG
rnacentral:rRNA from 1 species